rnacentral:lncRNA from 1 species
UUGUACACUUUUAAUAAAGAAUUACUAAAGUAGAUUUCAUAAACAUUGAACGUCUCUUUUAUUUAAAUUUGAACUUCUAUACAAAUGAAUAAUGGAUCUCUCUAUCCAUCACCAUGAAGUACAUGAAGGAACCUGUCGGGAACUAACACAAACACAUACUAUGCACACACCAUGGGCAUCCAGUGAUAAAUUAUGCAUCAAAUGGCACAUCAAAAAAGAAGAAAAUGCACCAGGGUCAUAAAAUUGAAGCUCCGGGAGACAUCACGACCAACUGCACAACGUGAUAGAUCUCCACGGGUUAUGGGCGCAACUUUCUUCUGGAUUGCAAGUCGUUCAGUGCUAAUUAUCCAGCGCCGGUGGCCAUGGGAAUCCAGUGAUUAUUACGCAGUGCCGAUGGCAGAAGUCAACUCGGCUGGCUCGCAAGGCGUUCUCCUUCUAUGUAAUGAGACCGCCACUUCUUUGAUUGUUGUAUAUUUCCUUCUUCAAAUUUCAUCUUUGAACUUCUGCCUUUUGUUUUUUCACCGCAACCUGAAACAAAGGGGAAAAAAUUGAACGUUUUUAGCACUGCCUUCUACGAACUUUUAUAUGUUUUUGGCUUUAAAUUUUUUUAACUCUGUAAUGCAAAUUUAUAUGUUCUUUUUUACUUUGCAGGUGGCUCCAUUUAACUAUUGUUUUUAUUCUCCAAGCAUACAUCUUGUGGAGUCAGAACUUAUAUAUUUUAUAUCAUUGAACUUCUAGAUUUUUCAAAAUGAAAUCAGAACACAAGUUGGGGCAAAUAUGGUGGGAAAUCAUAGACCGAAAUUUCUCUUUUUUCUUAGUUCAUAAUAUCUUACUUUAACAUAUUCCAACCUUGCUGAGAUUACAUCUUUGCAGAUCCGAAAAAAAUACAGUACCAAACUUUUGAACAUUACAGAGAGCAAAAAUACCAAUCUUUUUAAAACAUCUUGAACUACAGAAGCAAAGAGGCAAGAGAAUAGAGGAGGAGAAGAAGAUGGUGUGGUCGGUGGGGUGUACAACCUGCAGGGGAAGCGGCUGCGGGUGGUGGAUCUCGAGCUCUCAGCGUGGCCCUGCCUCUGUGCCCACGUUCAGUGGGCGGCUGGACGUGGUUGCACGCAUCGGCAACAGAUAGUGGUGGGGGGUGGUUGCCGUAGCGUCGGCUAUAUGUGGGGGGACCUCGGCGGCAGCGGCAGACGCGGCAUGCUGCAGGUCAAUACCUCCAGGUGAAGUGUUUGUGCAAAUCACUGAAUAAUAAGCUGUGUUAGCUAGCACAACGGUGCAAGAAUUUGAACUUAUAUUUUCUCUACCCGAGCUAAUGUACACUGUAUGUAAUCCAUUAUGUAGUCUGGUUCAAGAUAGUUGACUGCUUAAGAAAGCUGCAAGUAAUUUAAAUCGUACCUUGUGGAGUUUGCUAAUCGAGUGCGUAUCUUCUGUGUCUUGAGGAUGGCUUUGCCUCAACAACUGAAUGGAUGGAUGGAAUUAGCUACUAAUGCAGACUAUAACUGGCAUGUGUUACAUUUUACAGUGCAUGCACGAGAUGUAUCACACAAGGGAUUUUGGAAUGGAAUGAGUACCUGAACGGCAGCGUUGACAGAGGUGAACUUUGGGAUGAUGAUCGGCGAGGCGUUGGCAGAGGUGAUUUAUCCAAGAAAUUUAAUACUUGAAAAUAAAAAUCAAAGUAUCUGCAGUCAUAAAUGAACUUGAAAUUCUCGUCCACCUAGACUGUUCCUUCAUAUCAUACCAUUUUCAGAUGGGAAAAUUGAUAAGAAUAUGACACAACCCAGUCCAAUUCAGUUCAGAAAGAUAAAGAUGAAAAGAUAAAUAAAAUUGUUUUGCAGGAGUUCAUAAAGGGAGAGUUGAGCAGGUCUCGUCACAAAGAACAAGGAAGUUCAGAGAAAAUCUUAGCAGCCGUUCUCCUCUGUUUUCAGUAGCAGAAAUGCAGAAAUUGAACACACGUGCUCGUGUGGAUGUUCUCCGGGGGCUCGAUCAGGUACCGGGUGUGGUCGAGCGCAGGGUUGCGGGUCGGUGGAUCACCGGAUGUUGCACCGGGAUGCUAGGCGGCGGGAUGCGUCGCGCCGGUGCGUGCUGACGCGGAAGGAAGGUGUGGCCGGUGGCGCGAACUUGCAGGGGGUGCGUCGUGGCGGAGGUGUUGUGUGAGGGGGAGGUGGAGGCAGUGGCGUGUGCUGGCUGGGGGUCGCAUCGUGGCAGCGCACCUGGCCGGAGGAGGAAGGUGGGGGUGGCGGUGCAUGCCGCCGGGGAAGGAUGGCAGGACGGCGGCUGGAUCCUGGGAAGGGAGCGGCGGGGCAGGGGCUCAUGCUAGCGGGGGGAUCGAGGGGGAGUGAAGUGCAGGACUAGAUGUGGGCGGCGGCGCCUCCGGAUGUGGCGUGGCGGGGCAGUGGUCGCGUCUCCAGUUGGGGCAUGGCCGGGCGGCGGCAGGGUCUCCGGUCGGGGCGGGGCGGCGGCUGCGUCUCCGAUGGGUGUGAGGUGGCAGCAGCAGUGCCGGUUGGGGUCGGUGCGGAGGGCGUGUCGCCGGUUGGAUCGAGGAAGGUGCUGGGUGGGCCUUUUCUCUUUUUGUUG